UUGACCUCAAAUCAGGUGGGACUACCCGCUGAAC
rnacentral:rRNA from 1 species